CCAAUAGCGUAUAUUAAAGUUGUUGCCGUUAAAAAGCUCGUAGUUGAAUUUUGGAUUCUUCCAAUUGGUCCAUCUUUUAGAUGAGUACUGGUUGUGUGGGGUCUAUCCGCCUGGUGAUACGUAAUGUCCUUUAUUGGGUGUUACGAGUAGUCAGGACCUUUACCUUGAAAAAAUUAGAGUGUUUAAAGCAGGCUUAUGCCGGAAUACAUUAGCAUGGAAUAAUAGAAUAGGACGAAGUUGUUUUAUUUUGUUGGUUUCUAGGACAACCGUAAUGAUUAAUAGGGAUAGUUGGGGGCAUUAGUAUUCAAUUGUCAGAGGUGAAAUUCUUGGAUUUAUUGAAGACUAACUACUGCGAAAGCAUUUGCCAAGGAUGUUUUCAUUAAUCAAGAACGAAAGUUAGGGGAUCGAAGACGAUCAGAUACCGUCGUAGUCUUAACCAUAAACUAUGCCGACUAGGGAUCGGGCGAUGUUGUUUCCAUGACUCGCUCGGCACCUUAUG
rnacentral:rRNA from 1 species